rnacentral:rRNA from 1 species
AGUUUGAUCCUGGCUCAGAACGAACGCUGGCGGCAUGCCUAACACAUGCAAGUCGAACGAAGGCUUCGGCCUUAGUGGCGCACGGGUGCGUAACGCGUGGGAAUCUGCCCUUAGGUUCGGAAUAACAGUUAGAAAUGACUGCUAAUACCGGAUGAUGACGUAAGUCCAAAGAUUUAUCGCCUGAGGAUGAGCCCGCGUAGGAUUAGCUAGUUGGUGUGGUAAAGGCGCACCAAGGCGACGAUCCUUAGCUGGUCUGAGAGGAUGAUCAGCCACACUGGGACUGAGACACGGCCCAGACUCCUACGGGAGGCAGCAGUGGGGAAUAUUGGACAAUGGGCGAAAGCCUGAUCCAGCAAUGCCGCGUGAGUGAUGAAGGCCUUAGGGUUGUAAAGCUCUUUUACCCGGGAUGAUAAUGACAGUACCGGGAGAAUAAGCCCCGGCUAACUCCGUGCCAGCAGCCGCGGUAA